AACGAACGCUGGCGGCAUGCCUAACACAUGCCAGUCGAACGAGACCUUCGGGUCUAGUGGCGCACGGGUGCGUAACGCGUGGGAACCUGCCCUUAGGUUCGGAAUAACUCCCCGAAAGGGGUGCUAAUACCGGAUAAUGUCUUCGGACCAAAGAUUUAUCGCCUUUGGAUGGGCCCGCGUUGGAUUAGCUAGUUGGUAGGGUAAAAGCCUACCAAGGCGACGAUCCAUAGCUGGUCUGAGAGGAUGAUCAGCCACACUGGGACUGAGACACGGCCCAGACUCCUACGGGAGGCAGCAGUGGGGAAUAUUGGACAAUGGGCGCAAGCCUGAUCCAGCCAUGCCGCGUGAGUGAUGAAGGCCUUAGGGUUGUAAAGCUCUUUUACCCGGGAUGAUAAUGACAGUACCGGGAGAAUAAGCGCCGGCUAACUCCGUG
rnacentral:rRNA from 1 species